rnacentral:rRNA from 1 species
UGAAGAAUUUGUCCAACGGCGGGGGAUAGCCGGCCCAACGGCCGGGUAAUACCGCGUACGACCUUUUGGGGACAUCCCCGAUUGGUGAAAGCAGCAAUGCGCCGAAAGAGUGCCUCGCGGCCUAUCAGCUAGUUGGUGGGGUAACGGCUCACCAAGGCAACGACGGGUAGCUGGUCUGAGAGGAUGGCCAGCCACAUUGGGACUGAGACAUGGCCCAGACCUCCUACGGGAGGCAG